GGAAGGUGGGGAUGACGUCAAAUCAGCACGGCCCUUAUGUCCAGGGCUACACACGUGUUACAAUGGUCGGUACAGAGGGCAGCUACCUGGUGACAGGAUGCUAAUCUCGAAAACCGGCCUCAGUUCGGAUCGAAGUCUGCAACUCGACUUCGUGAAGCUGGAUUCGCUAGUAAUCGCGCAUCAGCCAUGGCGCGGUGAAUACGUUCCCGGGCCUU
rnacentral:rRNA from 1 species